AGUGAACGCUGGCGGCGUGGAUUAGGCAUGCAAGUCGAGCGAUCCCGACGCAAGUCGGGAUAGCGGCAAACGGGUGAGGAACACGUGAGCAACUUUCCCUUAAGUUAGGAAUAGCUCUGUGAAAACGGAGGUAAUGCCCAAUAAUAUCAGAGGAACGCAUGUUUCACUGAUUAAAGGUAGGGACCGUAAGGCCUACCGCUUAUGGAUGGGCUCGCGUCCUAUCAGCUUGUUGGUGAGGUAACGGCCCACCAAGGCUUAUGACGGGUAGCUGGUCUGAGAGGAUGGUCAGCCACACUGGGACUGAGACACUGCCCAGACUCCUACGGGUGGCUG
rnacentral:rRNA from 1 species